AGCUUUGCGCAGUGGCGAUAACGUGACCAAUGAGGCUCUGCCGAGGUGCGUUUAUUGCU
rnacentral:snRNA from 1 species